UACACUCCUGCGGGAGGCAGCAGUGGGGAAUUUUGGACAAUGGGCGAAAGCCUGAUCCAGCAAUGCCGCGUGUGUGAAGAAGGCCUUCGGGUUGUAAAGCACUUUUGUCCGGAAAGAAAUCCUUGGCUCUAAUACAGUCGGGGGAUGACGGUACCGGAAGAAUAAGCACCGGCUAACUACGUGCCAGCAGCCGCGGUAAUACGUAGGGUGCGAGCGUUAAUCGGAAUUACUGGGCGUAAAGCGUGCGCAGGCGGUUUGCUAAGACCGAUGUGAAAUCCCCGGGCUCAACCUGGGAACUGCAUUGGUGACUGGCAGGCUAGAGUAUGGCAGAGGGGGGUAGAAUUCCACGUGUAGCAGUGAAAUGCGUAGAGAUGUGGAGGAAUACCGAUGGCGAAGGCAGCCCCCUGGGCCAAUACUGACGCUCAUGCACGAAAGCGUGGGGAGCAAACAGGAUUAGAUACCCCGGUAGUCCCA
rnacentral:rRNA from 1 species